UAGAUAGUAGGCGGGGUAACGGCCCACCUAGUCAACGAUGGAUAGGGGUUCUGAGAGGAAGGUCCCCCACAUUGGAACUGAGACACGGUCCAAACUCCUACGGGAGGCAGCAGUGAGGAAUAUUGGUCAAUGGGCGAUGGCCUGAACCAGCCAAGUAGCGUGAAGGAUGACUGCCCUAUGGGUUGUAAACUUCUUUUAUAAAGGAAUAAAGUCGGGUAUGCAUACCCGUUUGCAUGUACUUUAUGAAUAAGGAUCGGCUAACUCCGUGCCAGCAGCCGCGGUAAUACGGAGGAUCCGAGCGUUAUCCGGAUUUAUUGGGUUUAAAGGGAGCGUAGAUGGAUGUUUAAGUCAGUUGUGAAAGUUUGCGGCUCAACCGUAAAAUUGCAGUUGAUACUGGAUGUCUUGAGUGCAGUUGAGGCAGGCGGAAUUCGUGGUGUAGCGGUGAAAUGCUUAGAUAUCACGAAGAACUCCGAUUGCGAAGGCAGCCUGCUAAGCUGCAACUGACAUUGAGGCUCGAAAGUGUGGGUAUCAAACAGGAUUAGAUACCCUGGUAGUCCACACGGUAAACGAUGAAUACUCGCUGUUUGCGAUAUACGGCAAGCGGCCAAGCGAAAGCGUUAAGUAUUCCACCUGGGGAG
rnacentral:rRNA from 1 species